rnacentral:rRNA from 1 species
CCAGCAGCCGCGGUAAUUCCAGCUCCAAUAGCGUAUAUUAAAGUUGUUGCAGUUAAAACGCUCGUAGUCUGAUAUAAUGGGGACGGUUGUGUGGUUCAGCAAUGAUCUGUGCAACGGUUUCCAUAUCCGGGACAGCAAUGUCCCAGUUUACUUUGAGGAAAUUAGAGUGUUCAAAGCAGGCGAUUGCUUGAAUACUGCAGCAUGGAAUAAUGGAAUAGGACUCGCGUCUUAUUUUGUUGGUUUGGAGAUGUGAGUAAUGAUAAAUAGGGACAGUUGGGGGCAUUGGUAUUCAGUAGUCAGAGGUGAAAUUCUUGGAUUUACUGAAGACUAACUAGUGCGAAAGCAUUUGCCAAGGAUGUUUUCAUUGAUCAAGAACGAAAGU